UACGGAGGGAGCUAGCGUUGUUCGGAAUUACUGGGCGUAAAGCGCGCGUAGGCGGCUUUGUAAGUUAGAGGUGAAAGCCCGGAGCUCAACUCCGGAACUGCCUUUAAAACUGCAUCGCUUGAAUCCAGGAGAGGUGAGUGGAAUUCCGAGUGUAGAGGUGAAAAUUCGUAGAUAUUCGGAAGAACACCAGUGGCGAAGGCGGCUCACUGGACUGGUAUUGACGCUGAGGUGCGAAAGCGUGGGGAGCAAACAGG
rnacentral:rRNA from 1 species